GUUUAACUAGCUCAGUUGGUAGAGCAUCAGACUUUUAAUCUGAGGGUCCAGGAUUCAAGUCUCUGGUCAAGCA
rnacentral:tRNA from 1 species